rnacentral:rRNA from 1 species
AUUGAACGCUGGCGGCAUGCCUUACACAUGCAAGUCGAACGGCAGCACGGGAGCUUGCUCCUGGUGGCGAGUGGCGAACGGGUGAGUAAUGCAUCGGAACGUGCCCUGAAGUGGGGGAUAACGUAGCGAAAGUUACGCUAAUACCGCAUAUUCUGUGAGCAGGAAAGCAGGGGAUCUUCGGACCUUGCGCUUUUUGGAGCGGCCGAUGUCGGAUUAGCUAGUUGGUGGGGUAAAGGCCCACCAAGGCGACGAUCCGUAGCGGGUCUGAGAGGAUGAUCGCCACACUGGAACUGAGACACGGUCCAGACUCCUACGGGAGGCAGCAGUGGGGAAUUUUGGACAAUGGGCGCAAGCCUGAUCCAGCCAUGCCGCGUGAGUGAAGAAGGCC